rnacentral:rRNA from 1 species
CAGUCGCCACGGUAAUACGAAGGGUGCAAGCGUUAAUCGGAAUUACUGGGCGUAAAGCGUGCGUAGGCGGUGAGUUAAGUCUGCUGUGAAAUCCCCGAGCUCAACCUGGGAAUGGCAGUGGAUACUGGCUCGCUAGAGUGUGUCAGAGGAUGGUGGAAUUCCCGGUGUAGCGGUGAAAUGCGUAGAGAUCGGGAGGAACAUCAGUGGCGAAGGCGGCCAUCUGGGACAACACUGACGCUGAGGCACGAAAACGUGGGGAGCAAACAGGAUUAGAUACCCCAGUAGUCCCUGUCUCUUAUAC